ensembl:ncRNA ZC504.13 ncRNA
UUGAUCAACCAAGGGCAUACAAAAAACUCCUUCGGGACCAAAAAGAUCAACACUUUGGCUCAAAGAGCCAAACAAUGUGCCCACAAGCAGUACAUUAGAAACAGCAGCUUUUCCUUCCUAAAAACAUACACCCACUUUUUUUAGAAGUCCCAUUCUUUCCUAUUUGCUUCUCGUGCCAGAAUAAUAUAU